CUAGGACUUCCAGAGAGAAACACAGCCCUGCCGACAGCCCGGUGAAACCCACUUUGGACUUCUGACCUCCAGAAAUGGCAGCUGAUCCCUCUGCUGCGGGACAGCCCCCGUCCCUUCACAGAACCCGCACCUAAGAGAGAUUCACCCACACCAUCGGCCUGCAGAACUCUCUUCUGUACUAGACCCUUUUGUCUUUUGGCAGAUGACUGGUCUACCAAAUGAAUGAGUGAAUCGCAUUGGAUGUCUACGUGAGAUUAAAACAAAGUCAAGUGCUAAGUGUGUAUUAAGCAUGGUCCUAAUGCCAUAAAAUAGACAGCUAUAUUCUGAUACGUAAGCUCAAAGAAAUAAAAAAGAUGAGAAGGAAA